ACUAGUUUGCCAUCUAUCACAGGAACGUGUCGUAUGCGAUUCUCUGCAAAUGUCGAAAACUUAGAUGGUCGUUGUUGCAGCUGGAGAACGAGCUGACUCCCAUUUUCAUGCAAUGUGUUGUCCUUCAGGCUUCAGCACCACCAACGAUCCAAUAUUAUUUCUAGCCAUCUGCAUCAACA